CGCCCAGCGCGUCUCCGCCGCCGGAAUCACCGGGUGAAGACGAGCCCUUCCACGCUUUGCGCGCAGCCCGCCGCGCGGCCAAGCUCUUGGAUAAAGACUGCUGCCAGAUCAGAAAAGGAUGCGCAGGAGCUUUCACAGAAAAGGACUGAAGCUUGCAAGAAAAUGUGAGGCAUUUGAGGCAAAGCUUUGGACCUAAAUUUGUCCCUACGUAAUCAUGAACUAGAGUAAUUGGAAACAGUACCACGUAGGCCAAGGGGUAGAAGACUUGAAGCCAGUACCACCAAUGAGAGUUCUAGUAUCCUUUGGAAUAUGGCAGUGAUGGAAGGACAAAAAAGGUAAGAAGAGGCAGAUGCUUGUAGUAGAUAGUAGAAUCCUGAAUCCUGAACCUUCUUUCUUUACUUCUCAGCCUGUGAAGGGAAGUAUGGCAUCCUCACUAAGAGAACUACAUCACCACAUACCUGAAGACAGCAGCACCACUUAACCUUCAGCUGAAACUUCUAAAACCAAGUGGCCAAAAAAAAAUCAAUCUUUUUUUCAACAAACUUUCAAGUAUUUUCUCACCUUGACCAACAAUUAGCUGACACAACCACAAAUAGAAUGUUGUGUGACUUUGAAAUGUGAACCAAGAUCUAUUUCCUUCAGGUAUAGCCUUAAUAGCAGAUCAGACAAAUUAUUCGACAACAUUCUGGCUUAGAGAACCAGUAAGUUUAUUACGGGUUACUUACAGAAGCAUGGAUAAUUGCUUAUGUGCAAGACCACUGGUGUCACACAGGUGUCUGCAUCCAUAAAAACGCUAGUGCAUUGACCAACUCACAAAAGCUGCAUUCCUGGAACUUCGGAAACCAUUUCCAGGCAGCUCAGCUGGGCAGUCUCUGCCUUCACCAGCAAUUGUGUAUGGUUUCUAUAACCCUGCCUCUUUUCUUAACUCUUAGAAACUGCCUUUCUCACUGCAUGGAGGGGAGGGGAUGAUUCAAGUUACAGGUCCUAGCUACAUACAGAUGUGCGUUCUCGGUCAAUACUUAACUUGACACUUACGAACUCCUGUCUCCAUUUAUGACGCAGUAUGAGGCUUCAUAAACUUUCCUUUCAUUUGUGCUUUUUUUUUUUGUCUACUGUCAUCAACAGACUGCUUCUGAACUAUUUGAAGAUAGUAUUAAAGAGAAUGGCUAGAAAGAGAUUGUGUAUAGCUUCAAUGAUAUCAAAACUUUUGAAUUCUCCAAGUCCAAGCCUCCGUAAUAUCCAUUUAUUGGCCUUACAUAUAUACGUCCAUAUUUUGUAUUUUUCAAGAAAUCCUUUAGAAUUUAUGAGCAGACUCCUAGUUUCCACUAACCAAAAGGCUAAGAAUGUUGUCAGUCAGCAUUGUAAUCUUAGAGCAGACAUUUUCCUGCCUUGCUGUAAUUUACCUUUCUAAUGGACAUACCAUCAAUUUGAAAAUUGCGAUCUUUUAUGACUUUCUUUGUUCUAUUACCAUAAAAGGUUCAUGAAACUGCUGCCUCAGAGAAACAUGUUCACUCAUAUUUGGCUCCUUGUAUUCAUUUGAGGUGAGAGCCAUUUCUUUCUUGGGCAGAAAGGGCUCUAUUAUUCAUAUCUGAGAUCCCCAAACUUAGCUAAAAGCCUUAUCUAUAGCACAUGUGUAGAGAUCACAUUAUCUAAGAUGAUGAACAAGUGAAUAUGGCUGCAGAAAAAACCAUGGAAUUAUUCUCAGCAGAAUAGAUCUAACUAUAUUUCUAACUAGAAAUAGAUCCAGAUUUGGACUUAGAAAAUCAGAUGGUCCAACAGAUCGGUGUGGGUAACUCAAGGAGAUAACGUAUUUCACUGGAAAAGGGAAGAUGGAGAGAAAAGCGUGGUAAAACAAAGCAAAAGCUGGAAAUUCAAUCUCCUAGUAUAGAAAUAGAAUAUUCAUUCUAUAGAAAUAGUCAUAAGAGGAGAAUUAAGAGCUGAAUAAUCUCUCUCUCUGCCUCUCUGUCUUUCUGUCUCUCUGUCUCUCUGUCUCUCUCUGUCUCUCUCUCUCUCUCUCUCUCUCUCUCUCUCACACACACACACACACACACACACACACACACAAAACAUCUGACUGACAUAAUUAAGUGUGAACAUAGGGAGACAGGUUAGAUCCCUAAUGGUGAUUUACAUGAUCAUAAUAAGUAUUACUCAGAGCAAUCAUAAUGAAAAUGGCAUCAAGUAUUAAUGAGGAUACUUCUUCUUAGCAGCUCAUAAUUUAAUACCUGAGAUUUUUAUAAAGCAACUCGCCUUUCAGGAAACAAGUGAACCCCAGACCAACUAUACUGUUUCUGUUACACCCUCACACAGACAACUCCACUCCAAAAACAGGUUUGAAAUAGAUUCCCACUAUCCAGAGCUGAGAUUUUUCUUUAAGAGCAGAAAAUAUAUUUUGUCCAUUUAUCUUUGAAUCCCCAGGAGCACAGAAGAAAUGCUCAAUAAAUUUUUAUUGAUUUAUUAUCUUUUAUUCCCCACAGCAAGCUACAAAAUAAAUAGGUCUGUACCCCAAUCCUUGAGGUGAGGAAACCAGAGACACCUGCUUAAAGUAGAAAUUAGCUAACGAAUUUCUAAUAUUUUUAACACAUUAGUCUCUCCUGAAGUGCUCUUCUCCUGCCUAGAGAGACCAAGACUGCCAAGGUCACAUUGCUUAUUAAUUACUUAUUUUUUUUCCUGUGAGGAAUUCUAAGAAAGCACACUACUUGCCUUCAUAUUCAGAUGUAGAACCAAAGAAGUUUUCUGGCAAAGUGCCCACUUCUCUUGCUUUGCAAGAUCAAGGGCAAAGCUGCACACUUCUGAGUCAGCCUUGAGCACCUAAAGCACUCUUUCCUAUGUUGACGUGGUGGAGAACAGGAAAGACAUUAUGCAUCUGGAGGUGAAAAUCCAUGUUUAUUCUAGGGUCGAUGGAAUCAGUGCAUCCCUGAUUAAUUUACACUUAAAUCAAUGAAGUGUUUUGCAAAAGAUAUUUGAUGUUCAAGAAGCCUUUUAAAGGAGUCUGAUGGGACUUUAAAGCUGUUUUUGUCUUAAGAAGGGAACUUUUCUUCUCUAUGAUCUUAUACAAAUGACAUAAUUUCAAAGUCUCCUUUUAGGGCAGAAUGCUAUUACUUUCAAAAUCUUGCUUUUUACAUAUAUUUAGAGGUGGUUAACUUAUAUUUUAUCAUGUCAGCAUGUUUUUUUUCAUUAUCUACCUAUCUAUAUAUCUGUCAGUUUGUCUGCCUGUUUUGCUAUUAUCAUCUAUUGUUCAACUGUCUAUUUUUAUUUAUCUAAACUAACAAUCUAUAAUCAUCUCUACCUUCAUUUAUCUGUCUGGUGGCCAUCUAUCAUCUUUCUAUUCACGAAUCUAUCAUCUGCCAAUCAUCUAUUUAUAUCUAUCAAUUACUUACCAUCAACCAUCUAUAUCAAUCUAUCUAUCUAUCUAUCUAUCUAUCUAUCUAUCUAUCUAUCUAUCUAUCAUCUAUCUAUCAUCUAUCUAUCUAUCUAUCUAUCUAUCUAUCUAUCUAUCUAUCUAUCUAUCAUCUAUCUAUCAUCUAUCUAUCAUCUAUCUAUCUAUCUAUUUAUCUAUCUAUCAUCUAUCUAUCUAUCAUCUAUCUAUCUAUCUAUCUAUCUAUCAUCUAUCUAUCUAUCUAUCUAUCUAUCUAUCUAUCAUCUCUCUAUCAUCUAUCUGUCUCUCUUUCUGUCUGUCCAUCAUCUAUUUACCUUAGCUCUAAAACAGUUCUGAUUACAAAGAGUCUGAGCAAAUCACGUAUGACCAUGGCAUGGGAGUAUGGAUAUUUCUGACCCUGAAUUAUAUAUGAGAUUUUAUAGGUACUGAAACUCAUAAAUCAGUGCAUUUAUAAAAAAUGUCAGAGAGAACGGCAAGUCGGCAGAUUAGAACGGAGCAGAGGUGUUGCCUAAUAUUGAGAAUCUGUUGCUUAUUGCUGGGAGUUUUAGAUUCUUAUGCCCCUUAAAAAAAUAAUAAUUGAGAAGAGACACACUAUGGCAGCAAAAGCAAAAACAAUUGAAGAAAAAAUUUACUUCACACAGGAGGAGGGCAGUAAUUCCACUGCAUAAAGAAUCACUGCUUCCGCUGGAGAGAUGGCUCAGCGUUUAGGAGCACUGACUGCUCUUCCAGAGGUCCUGAGUUCAAAUCCCAGUAACCACAUGGUGACUCACAACCAUCUGUAAUGAGAUCUGAUGCCCUCUCCUGGUGUGCAUGAAGACAACUGCAGUGUAUUCACAUAUAUAAAAUAAAUAAAUAAAUCUUGGGGUUGGGGAUUUAGCUCAGUGGUAGAGCGCUUGCCUAGCAAGCGCAAGGCCCUGGGUUCGGUCCUCAGCUCCGAAGGGAAAAAAAAAGAAUCACUGCUUCCCAGAAACUUGAGAAUGCUCCAUGUCUCAGUUACAUACUAAGGGUGUAUCUUCUCAUUUACAGACACGUCCCUGUGUCAUGUGCGUUGUAUAUCUCCACCCAAAGAUGUGUAGUUUUAUAGUAUGAUGAGCUACAUCAUACUUCUGGACAUUCGGGGAUGGCCUUAAUUCUAAGAGAUAUACUACCUGUGUGGAGAAGGAAGACACAGGGUGGAUAAAGACUUACACAUGUUCGUUGUAUGGAGAAACGUGAGUGUGCUGAGAGUCAAUGAUAAUUUGAAUUAACUGAGUAAUCCCACGCCAGUGUUUUUGCAUGAAGUCAUUCUGUUUAUCCCACACUAACAUUUGAAGAUGCAGAUGUAAUCAGCAGCCUUUUGUAGAGCAAGGAUACGAGAUACAAGAAAGCUAUGCUGAAUUCUUCAGAUGUUGCAUCUGGUAAGGAACCGGUGUCAUUUUUGUCUGUGCUUUGUAUAUGGUCCAAACUUCUUAGUAGAGCCCAGCAUCUGUCAUGAGGCAAAUAGUGUCCUUGGUGCUAUGAUUUCUAUUGUGACACAAAUCCUAGAUGCAUGAAAUAAGUAAGUGGGAAAUUAGCCACUUUCCAAACAUCUUUCUGAUUUUCAUCAAGAGGGAACAUUUCAAUUCCUAUUUCUGCCUUUGCUGAUGCCUCCAACAAGCAGAAUGCUGGCUUGUCCUCGGAGUCUUAAGAAGACUCCAAGUGACUUUUUUUGAAUCCAAGAACAAUGCUUUGUACUCAUUCAAUUUAUUUCUAAGUUUACUUUGUAGUGUGGUAAGUAAAAAUAAUAUUUCUAUUUCUAGGUAUGGAUAUAAGUUUCCCUUUAAACGAAUGUUUAUUUUACAUUUUGUAGAAGUGAGGUGAUUAAAAUAUUAUAUCACACAGAUGGUGCAUAGAAAAAGAAAAGCAAUGUAACUAUAUGCAUGGCUACAGCUUGAGUAAGAAAAAUACUAUGUUAAAUCAACAUCCUUUCAAAGAACCAUCACCAAGUAAAUCGUCUUUUUUUAAUUUUGGGAAGUAUACACAUUUACAGCAAUAUUCCUGGAUUUUAAAUUUGUGCUAAAUUUCAAAUGUUUCAGAUAUUUCUACAUUGGUUUCUUACUUUAAAAAUAUCAACUCUGACACAUGUAAGAAUCAUUUCUGGGAGUUAUACUUACAUGAGGGAUGGGAAGUGCUUAUAGGUACAAACUAAAGUAUUAGAUUUUUAUAGAUUUGUCUCUCUGUGCCUCCAUCCAUUAAAAUUUCAACACACUAACCAUCUUCUUUAGUUAAGAUCUUGGACUUAGACUUACAAAAUACCAAAGUCUUACCCUUAUGAUACUGAAGUAAAUAAAGUACAUCUUCCCAGGGUACAAAUUUGGAGCAGGCUAUGUGAAAACCAACUUCCAUUUUUUUCUGCCUAUUUUAUUUGGUUUAUUAUCCAGUUCCAUUUGGGGAUACAUUGUGGUCCUCUUCAAUGAAAUUUUACUUUUAUGUGUUGUAUCUUGCUAUUGCAACGGGAAGUCAACGUAUUGCUCAUAAAGCAUUAAAGUCUUUAUGAACUACUGAUGGAUAUCAAGGAAGUGCUCUGAGGACUAGGAGAUGAUAUUGUGGCAAAAUGUCUAGUUCCUCUAUCUAUUACCUUCAGUGGCUUUGUAGCAAAUAUUGCUGAAAAAAGCAAGUAUAAAUCACUCAAGUCCUAAGGGCUUAAUGCUCAAGGACCAUUUAUGUUUUCAUUUUGUUUAUAUUACUGGCCAACAGUACUGAAUGAGAUAAAAAGAAAACAUUAUUAUUAAAAAAAAGAAGUGAAAGAAGAGAGAAAGAGAAAAAGGUAGGAGGAGGACAGGGGAAGACAAGAUGGGUAGAAAGAGAGAGGAAGAGCAGAUAGAAAUGCUAAACAUCCGGUGCUAUGGAGGAGACUGGUCCUUUGUGCUAUUUUGCUUUGAGAUGAGAUCUCAACAUGAAUACCAGACUUGUGACUACCAGGUUCACUACACAAGGCCUGAUUCAUAUAUUCAUUUAUUUACUGGCUUAUUUAUGUUCAUUCCUUGCAGGGAUGUACCUAAGGCAUUUGGGUAUAAGAAGAUACAAGCCAACAGCAACAACUUUUUUUUUCAGCUCUGGUUAAGGUCUGGUGUUUGAUUGCACAGCUCUGUAAACGAUUUGGGAAAGAUAUAAAUCCUAUACAGGAAAUCUGGGGCAUGUUCUGAUCCUCACCCCCUAAUAUGUACAGGAACAUGAAAAAUUACUCUAGCUACAGCACUGUCGGUGGUUUGUUUCUUGACAAACCUUAGCAGUUUUUUCUACCUGCAGUGGUAAAUUUCUUCUUAUUGCCUGAGUCAAUCAAAAUGGAAUGCUAUUUUAUUAUAGCUACCUUUGCUCAAUAUCACUUUGAGGCCUACAUAUAUCCCUGCCCCAGUCUCAUUUCUACUACCUAUCAAUAAAUGAUGUUUCCCCCCUCCCCGCCCAUGUACAUAAGUUUUUCUCACCUCUCUCAGUGGACCGCAGUAAUCCUACAUCACAUGAACUAAAUUUAUGUAACAUGUAGAUUGUAGUAAGUCUAACGACAUGAACUCUAUGUGAGGAAGGGUCACUAAUUAUAAACAUGUACGACAUUAAGGGUAUUUAUGUUAGUGAAUAAUGCAAAAGGACAAGAAAAGUAUCAGCUUUCCAUUUAUAUUUUCUCUGAAAACUUGAGUCUAGUUUUGUCAUUUUGUACGGCAGUAUGAGAAACAGAAAUGAUGGGUGUAUAUUGCACGUGUGAAGAUAGAAACUCUUGUAACAGACAUCCUUGUCUGGCUUGUCAUUACCUUUGAAAAUUUCACUGUAAGUGUGUCUCAUUAAGUGUGAAGGCACUAUGUUGAGCCCUUAGCCAUGACAGUGCUUAGUUUGAUUAAUCCAUGAGAAAUCAGUGUCUCAUUAAUGUGUAAACAAGUGCAUAUACAAAUACAUCUGUACGCCUCCCCACUUUCAUCCGCAUGCAUUAAAUCUCACGUUGUUCCCUGCUUUGGACCAGGUGCAGAUAAUUAAAAGAUGAAUGAGAUAAGAUGCCCUCCAAAGCUCAGUCAAGUGGCAGAGACAGACAAUGUGAAGACGUAAUUUUGGUAUAAGGACAGCUCUCAAGUGCGGCAGCAGAGAAGUAUGAUGAAAAUGCAAAGGCUUAGGAGUCUGAGAACACCCUUGGAGAUGUCACUUCUCUGCUCUGAAUAUCCUAGUGACUGUCUAACCUUGGGAGUCUCUCAGCUUCUCUGAUAAGUGCUUGGGUGUGGCUGAACUGAGGAAACACAGCAGGAAUCAAGAAGAGUAGUAGACUGUGUGCCCCGAACAAUUGAAUAGGCAAGCCCAAAAGAGCCUUAUUUUUAACAAUGAGAAACUUAAACAUCAAUCUAUUAAUCCCCUGUCAUACUGAGAACUAUACAACAGGUAUAUAUAGAUUUAGCUUCACGACAGCUGUACUAAAAUGUAGUGCUAGAGUGCGUGUGUGAUAUUUUGCCUAAAUAUGGAGCAAUGGAAGGAAGAAAUAUCAUUUAAAAUGUGAUUGCAAUACAAAAGGAAUAAUGUAAAAUACAAAAGCACCAUUCCCGAUGCUGCUUAAUUUCAUUUCAACUGCUCAGGAAGUGCUUAAAUAUCUUGCCCACCAUUGCAUAAAUAACCACAAUAUUAUAUUGUGAGAGCUAGGGGUAAAGAAUUGAGGCCCAGAACCAGGUUGACUAUUAUGAUACCAUACUUUUCUCUCUCUCUCUCUUUCUUUCUCUCUCUCUUUCUUUCUUUCUUUUAGCUUGGCAUCUCUCUCUUUCAUUGAUAGCUGAUCCAAUACAUUUUUGAAAAUUCUUUGUCACUAUUGUCUUUAUUUAUGUAUUAAUAGUGCUUGCUUUGGUGUUCAGCAAAUAUCUCAAACUUAUGUUCUCAAUAUACCACAAUAAGGGGAUCAGAAGUCUCAGCGAAUUCUGUGUCUAAGUGCUAGUGUGCAGCCCUCUGUGCCCUGUGAACAUAAUUACUAUUGGAUAGGCAUAUGGCAUUGUCAGUUGCUCUUUCCCUAUUGUAUAUAUUCUCUCUCUCUCUCUCUUUCUCUCUCUCUCUCUCUCUCUCUCUCUCUCUCUCUCUCUCUCUCUCUCUCUGCUAAGACUAUCUAAUUAUCGCCCCUUUCAGAUUAUUGCUUAUGGUCUUCUUGCCUGGACCUCAAAAUCAACUUCUCCUCUGCUUCUGUAAGACGCCUUUGCUCAUUUCUCUCCACAGUGUCUUAUCUGCACCAAGACUCCUCUUCUCGCAGCACAAGGCACUGUCUUCCAGAGAGCUGCUAUUUGCCCUGGCAUCCCUACUACUAUGUCUAGUAAUGUGGGUAGCACAUGUGUUUUUAGGUAGCCAACAUAGAUUAAUUCCUUUUUCCUCAGAGAAAACAUUGUCCUUACCCACUGGAUCUUCUAAAAUAAAAAUAUACCCAAAAGAUGCCCCAACAUAUAACAAGAACACAUGCUCCACUAUGUUCAUAUCAGCCAUAUUUAUAAUAGCCAGAAGCUGGAAAGAACCCAGAUGUCCUUCAGCAGAGGAAUGGAUACAGAAAAUGUGGUACAUUUACACAAUUGAGUACUAUUGAGCUAUUAAAACCAAAGACUUCAUGACAUUCAUAGGCAAAUGGAUGGAACUAAAAAAUAUCAUCCUGAGUGAGGUAACCCAGGCACAAAAGAACACAGAUAAUAUGCAAUCACUGAUAAGUGGAUAUUAGCCAAGCUCGGAAUGCCCAAGAUACAAUUCAGAGACCACAAGGAACUCUAGAAGAAGGACAACCAAAAUGCAGAUUCAUCAGAUCUUCUUAGAAAAGGGAAUGAAAUGCUCAUAGGAGGAAGUACGAGAUACAGAGUUUGGAGCAGGGACUGAAGAAAAGGCCAUCCAGAAACUGCCAUACCUAAGGAUUCAUCCCAUAUACAGUCACCAAACCCAGACAGUACUGCAGAUGCCAAGAAGUGCAUGCUGACAGGAGCCUGAUAGAGCUGUCUCUCAGAGGCUCUGUCAGAGCCUGACAAAUACAGAAGUAGAUGCUCACAGCCAACCAUUGGACUGACCAUGGAUCCCCAAUGGAGGAGUUAGAGAAAGGACUGAAGGAGCUGAAGGGGUUUGCAACCCAAUAGGAAGAACACAGUAUCAACCAACAAGACUGCCCUCCCCCCAAUCCCCAGAGCUCCCAGGGACUAAAGCACCAACCAAAGACUACACAUGGAGGGACCAUGGCUCCAAUAGCAUAUGUAGCAGAGGAUGGACUUGUAGGGUAUCAAUGGAAGAAGAGGUCCUUGGUCCUGUCAAGGUUUGAUACCCCAUUAUAGGACAAUGCCAGGGCAGGGAGACAGGAGUGGGUGGGUGGGUAGGUGGCAGAGCAUCCUGAUAGAAGGAGGGGGAGGAAGGAUGAGAUGGGGAGGGAGGAUGAGAUAGGGGGUUUGCAGAGAGAAAACCAGAAAAGGGGAUGGCAUUUGAAGUGUAAAGAGAAUAUCCAAUAAAAGAAAAGAAAAGAGAAAAUAUGAAAAAAAUCCUGUACUUGAAAAAACCAUUUUCUGCAGAGUUAUCUGCACACAUUUCCUCAUUUAACCCCCCAGUGGAUUGACAUUACAGUCCGUGGCAGAUAUUUAACGUUAGACAUAGUCUCCAGAGUGAAGGGAGGGAUGUGUAUGGGCACUUAAUCUCAGUUAUAUUUUUGAAAUAAUUUUCUUUCCUUCUUGUCUGGCAAACACCUGUAUUCUAAUAUUUAUGUCAAUUUUGAUCUUUUCUAGAGAGCUUUUUCUUACUUCUUCAUCUCUCCAAAGGCAAGCUUUGUAUGGUUUGUUACUCCAACCUUUAGACAACCUAACAUCAACUUGGCAUUUAAGAUGGUAAUUAAGCCUCUCUGCCAGUAUAGUUGUUUGUAGCAAGAAGGCAGAACAUGAGUCAAUAAAAUACUUCUAACAGUGUAGAGACAGAGUUUGGUUCUUUAAGGAGGGAUCUCCGGAGCAAGCCUUACAUUCAGUAAUUUACAUCUACUCUCAAGUUUUCCGACUUCUUCCCUGACUGUGUUUGCUAGGCACUUUCUGGACUUCACAGUAUAAUUUUACCCACACUAAUUGAGUUUUUCCUGCCCAGAUAUAAUCUAUCUCCAAGCCCCCCAGUGUAAGUAUAAUAGUUAUUUGUCUAAUUCACUGAUGUAACACUAUGACCUGGGAAACCUAAAGCAGAAUUGGUUUCUUUGGGGCAAUGUUUGCUGAUGUUUACAGUCUACACAGGCACAGGGGAGGUGGCAGGAGCAAGCAUGGAGUAGGGGUGGCAGCUGAGGAAUUUCACCUUGAACCACAAAUUGCAAGCAGAGAUAGUAACGUAGAUUUGUCAACUUAAAUCCAGCGCUCGGUCACAUACUUCUCUCAGCAAGACCAAACCUCUUCUCGACAAAGAUACACCAUCUGGGGGCCAGGUAAGUAUUCAGACGCCUGAGAUUUAUAGAAAACAUCUCAUUUAAACCACCUCAGCAAAUCUGUAUAUUCACAUAACCAAUAAUUUUGUCUUACUAAUCUUUAAAUCUAUAGUCCAAGGUCUGACAUACAGUUGGUGUUUCUGUUUUCUAUCACUCUUGCUUUGUCUACUUUAAUUCAUUCAUUCAUACACACACAUAAAAACAUGGUCUUCAUUAGCAUUUUUAUAUAGGAGUAUCAUUAUACUUUGUUCUCAUCUCCUUUUUAUUGAAUUUAGUGUUUUAUAUUUUAACAACUUUUAUUUUCCCACAGAUUCAUGCACAGUUCUGCUACCAUAUUUAUACCAAAUGGAAUACUCAAAUUUCACCUACAAGUCAUUUUCUACCUUCUUUAUAUUUUUAUCACAUUGAUAAUUUAUAAGCUUCUUUGCACAACAUGGGCGAUAAAAGGUAUAAUGAGAGUGGUUGUUUUUUUUUAAGAGAAAGUUUGCUUGUUAAAUGUGGAAUGGUUCUUAGCACUUUGCCUUCUUUGCCAACAUGAUAUCCUUAAUGUGAGUGAAAGGCAUUACUAAUGAAUGUGCCUCUGUCUGAAUGCAAUAUUAGUAUUUUACUUUAGUAUUUAUUUACUUUAAUAUAAAUUUUCUGUGCAUCAGUUCCUGGGCACAUGUGUGUAGGGUUACAUGCAUUUGUAGGACAAACCACAAUGCCAGGUGUCUUCUGCACUGAAUUUUUCCUUGAGCAGAGUAUCUAGCUGAACCUGGAGCUCAUUGGUUCCACUAAGAUGACUGGGUAGCAGUCCCCAGGGAUCUUCUUGUGUCUAUCCUUCCCAGGUGCUGGGAUGCUUCUCCUGCUUUCAAGAUUGUACAGCAAAUGAUUGAUAACUGGGCUAGCUUCCCUAUCUAAUCUUAAUGCAAUCUUAUAUGGAGGUCCUGCCUCAGCCUGUCAGCCUUAGCAAAACUCCCUGUGAGUCUCAGCUGACAUCACUCUGCCAAUCCACCUGAGCCUAUGGAAGCAGGAAGAAGCCUUAGUAAACCACCACAAGUUUUUUGGUACAUUUUCCUCUAUGGAGUCCUGACAAGCAAAGCUCAACUAAGCAAUGGAAGGUGGCCCAAUACAUGUUGUUAUUGAAGGAUCCCUCAUCACAUGGCCUUUCAUGUGCUUGUUUUCUCAGCACAUCCUUUACCUGUGCCAACUUGAGUAAAACAUUCCUUCACGUGUUUGCCCCAGAAAAACCCCGUCUAACACAACUGAAUUUCCAAAGUUUCCUCAGUCUCCACUUCAUGUCAAUAUAAAUCUAGAGGUCACAACUUGGUGGUGUCGUUUCUCUUGUUCAAUCUUGUGGGUCCUAGCAAUGCAAUUCUAGACCUUCACCUUGGUGACAAACACUGAUCUGUCUGUCCAGCCUACAGCACAGGUCUCAUCUGUUACCAACAGUUAGUAAUGCAAUAAACAAGUUUAUCUGUGACUUACCUAAACUAUAACUCGCUCUCACCAAGGAUUUGGCUCAGGGGUGGUGAAAAUACUGCUUUGUACAAAUUUAUUUUUGCAUAAAGGCAAAACUGGCUCCAUUACGUGAUGCUGAUCUAUAUUGAGUUUAAAUAUACAUGGUCCCAGUUAAACUGUUCUUAAAAGAAUAAAAAUAAAAUAAAACUUUAAAACACCUGAAAACAAAAAUCCAUACAAGACUUUCUGUUCCGAAGACUAAAAUGCCUCCUUGUGCUCACUUGUUCCCUCCCUUAACUAAUGACAUCCAAAAACUCAUAGUACUAAGGGAGGAGGUGGCUAGGAGUAUAGGGAUGUUGUUAUUAGAUCUCCGAAAGAAGGAUUCUAAUUCAUCAAAUAAAUUUUUAUUUGAAAGCUCCUCAGUCUAAAAGUAGACCUAAAAAUAACCUUGCCUUAAUGUUUAAGUUAAUGCUUUUAGCAAACCCUUAGAAGUUAUAGCUACCAAUAAUAUAGUUAUUCAUAUUGUAAUAAAUGCAAAUUCAUGGUGAAUAUAAUUUAUUACCAUUAAUCCCCAUAAUAACUCAAAAGAAACUAAUACGAUUUUUUAUUUUAACAAGGGAAAUAAAUAAGGAUGAUACACGGUAGCAUGUAUGCAAUUUUUCACUAGAUUUAUUUAUGUAUUAGUGUUUGGAGAGGGUGUAGGGCACACCUAUGUAUCCAAUGCUAUGAUAAAGAGGGAUGGAUAUAUUGUAUUCGUGAAUGAAAUUCUAAAAAGUCAAAACCAAUUUUUUACCAGUAUUAGUGUAGAAAUUUAUCAGUAUUAAUUGUUCAUGUGCCUGAUGGUAUAGAGCCUAGUUUGCUUUAUGUGCAGAUGUUCUGUGAACCCCAAAGCAUAGUGAUUGUUAAAUUUAAGACUAUGACCCAAUAACACUUAAGUUUUUUAACAUCGCUGUAAGAGCAAUAGAAUGAAGUAUUUUGUUGCUUAUGUAACUAUCUGGUUUUCCUGCUACAGAAUAGAUACUUAUAGAAGCAAAUGUAUAAGUGAGGCACAUUAAACUGCAAAACUAUGCAUUGCCUGAAAUUUAAUAAAGGAAAGUCUGUGAACUUUUGUGUUUUUCUUUUCUUUUUUCUUUCUUUUAUUUUUUGCUAAACAUGUUUCAGAGCAUGGCCACUAUGACUUUCACAUGCUUCACGUCUACCAGUUGUAUCCAGCCACGAGUCCAUGGGCAACUUGUGAUUCCUGUGAUAAUUUCCAACUACCACAAUUGUAUUGUAAGCUAUGUUCUUUUGUAAUACUUCUGACUCACUCAUUUGUUUUGUGUGAUUCCCCCUCCCCAACCCUAAUAGUAAAUGUAUAAUAUGUGAUGAUUCAGAAGGGUCAAAAUUGGCUUUAGUAAUCAUCUACUGCAUAUUAGGAUUGUCAUAAUCACUUGUGCAUACUGUGUGGUACGAUCAGAAAGCUAGACUGUUUAUAUUUACCACUGGGAAUAUUAGACUGUGGAAAUAAGACUUUUCAAAAGGAUAUAAUUAAGUCCAAACAUAGUAGUGACAGAUUGGUCAUUCGGAAUGUCUUAUCUAUUUUUCUAUAAAAUGCGUAUGUUUUCUGCUAAAAUCUAAUUCCUACAUCAGACCAUUUGUUUCAGCAGUGACUUCUCUUAAAAGUUUUUAUUUUUCUUACACUGCUGACUAAGGAACAUCCAUAAAAAUCACUCUACAUUUUGUGUGUACUUUAGGAGAGUGACUGACUCCUGACCAUUUAUACUACUGGGUUCUGCAGUGACAUCCAGUUUCAUUACGUUUUGAGCACAUUUUCCUUGUGAACACUUUUCAGGGAGUAGAUUCAUAAGCUCGCUGAGAUAGUGGUUCUUCUGGCAUUCUCUUAAAUGGAAACAGCUGACCAAGAUUGCCUUGCCUUGAAGCUCCUUCUCAUGCCUUGGAGGGUUAAAGAAACUUAGAAUGACUAUAUAUGUGAACUGCUAGGAUCAGGUUAAAAAUAAGGAUGGACAUGGGACAUGGUGACACCUGGUUUUGACAUGAAACAAACGCUAAACAUCAAAGGUUAAUUUAGAUGAGGACUGACUUGGUAAGGUCUAUGUCCCAUUUGACCCCAUAGGACAAAACCAAUCCUUUGGCUCAUCAUGAGAAUCACAUGCUUCUCUGCUGGUUCCUUCCCUCCUGUGUCAACCGGUCUUAGGGGUUUUCCAUCUGCUUCGUAAGUGAAGUGAGAACUCUCCUUUACUCAGAUAAUGAGACAGGAUGUCAUAGGUGAGAGAAUGCCUCAGAAGAUGAUUUCACCUUCAGCUGUGCUUUCUGGUCGAGAAUAGACUAGCUCAUUUCCUGCUUUGUACUAAUAUCAUUAAACAUCGUAAUUGCAAACCAAGUGACUUCUGGCAGUCACUAAUUUCUUACAUCAGUUACACAUAAAGAGAACAGAUGGAAACAGUUGCAACACUCGGAGGCUUCCGUAUUUUUCUCUGUUAGCAGGGAUAAGCACCCACGGGAUUUAUGAUUUUGAUUUCACUACCUUCUGGAUUGUAUCCAAAGACAUCUCCUCUGUGUUACUGCUGAAUCAGAGGUAUCUUUCAUUUGCACAGAAACUUUCUCCAAGGUGAGAUAAGGUCAGAACCUCAGGAGAGCUUAACCCAGGGGGGCUUGUUGAUGGUUAUAGCAAUGGUGAACACCUCGCUUUGACUUCAUCUGACCUCCUGUAUCUCCUGCUGUCUGUUCAUAGCCGUUCCUGCAUAGUCUAUUCUGAUGCCCAGUGUCUUUUGAUUGUUUUACUUAGAAAGUAAAACAAUUCAGCUUGCAUUCUCAUCUAAGGGAGGCAGAAAGCCUGGGGUGUUUUGGAGAAAAGCUUUUACUUAUGUUGUGGAAAUCCUGACCAGCAUUGAAAUGCCAAUUUAUAUCAUUGGCUUUGUUUCAAGCAUGGGACAGGAGUGCAAAAUAUUUACUUACCAAGGACAAGAUGAGUUAUAAAAUCUCAUGGGCUAGAAAGAAGAAGAAUUGAGUAAAAGUAAAAAGUAUAAUUUGAUUUAUCUCUGCCCACAGCUCUUAACUGGGGCUGAGGUUAGGAUUCCCAUUAGUUUUUUCAUAGCAGAGAGAAUAUUGUCUUAGGUUUUUGUGUGCUUAUGUGUUGGGAAUUAUUUUUUUAAUUGGAUGGGUUUUUUUUGUUUUGUUUUUUUUUUGUUUUUUACAUUUUGAAUGUUAUUCCCUUUCCUGGUUUCCUAUCCAUAAGCCUCAUAUCCCAUCACCUCCUCCUUCUUGUAUAAGGGUGUUCCCCCUCCCUAACCAAAUCCCCUGACAUUCCCUUGCACUGGGAGAUCAAGUGCUUGGCAGGAACAAGGGCUUAUACUCCCAUUGGUAUCGAGCAAGGCAAUCUUCUGCUACAUAUGAAGCUGGAGCCAUAGGUCUGUCCAUGUGUACUCUUUGAAUUGUAGUUUAGUCCCUGGGAACUCUGGGUGAUUGGUAUUGUUACUCUUUUAGGGUUGCAAACCCCUUCAUCUCCUUCAAUCCUUUCUCUAACUCCUCCAAGGAGGAACCCAUUCUCAGUUCAAUGGUUUGCUACUAGCAUUCACCUCUGGAUUUGACAUGCUCUGCCCGAGCUUCUCAGGAGACAGCUAUAUCAGGAUCCUGUCAGCAUGCACCUCUUGACUUCACCAAUAUUGUCUAGUUUUGGUGGAGAUAUAUAUAUAUAUCAUCCCCAGUAGGGGAGGCUCUGCAUGGCCAUUCCUUCAGUCUCUACUCCAAACUUUGUCUCCAUAUUUCCCCAUAUGAAUAUUUUUGUUCCCCCUUAUAAGAAGGACUGAAGCAUCCACAAUAUGAUCAUCCUUCUUCUUGAGAUUCAUGUGGUCUCUGAAUUGUAUCUUUGGUAAUUCGAGCUUUUGGGAUAAUAUCUACCUUUCAGUGAGUGCAUACUGAGUGUGUGUGUGUGUGUGUGUGUGUGUGUGUGUGUGUGUGUGUGUGUUGUGAUUGGGUUACCUUAAUCAGGAUGAUAUUUUCUAGUUCCACACAUUUGUGUAUGGAUUUCAUGAUGUCAUUGUUUUAGAUAGUUCAGUAGUUCUCCAUUUUGUAGAUAUAACACAUUUUCUGUAUCCAUUCCUCUGUUGUAGGGCACCUGGGUUCUUUCCAGCUUCUGACUAUUAAAAUAAGCUGCUAUGAACAUAGUGGAACAUGUAUCUUUGCUGUAUUUUGGAACAUCUUUUGGGUAUAUGCCCAGGAGUGGUAUACCUGGGUCCUCAGGUAGUACAAUGUCGAGUUUUCUGAGGAACCUCCACACCGAUUUAAGAGUGGAAGUCAAGUAUCAGUCUUGCAAUCCCCCUAACAAUGGAGGAGUGUUCCUCCUUCAUCACAUCCUCACCAGCAUCUGUUUUCACCUAAGUUUUUGAUAUUACCCAUUCUGAUUGGUGUUAGAUGUAAUCUCAGGGUUGUUAUGAUUUGCAUUUCCUUGAUGACUAAGGAUGUUGAACAUUUCUUUAGAUACUUCACAGACAUUCUAUAUUCCUCAGCUGAAAAUUCUUUGUUUAGCUCUGUACCCCAUUUUUAAUAGGGUUAUUUGGCUCUCUGGAGUCUAACUUCAUGAGUUCUUUGUAUAUAUUGGAUAUUAGCCCUCUAUACGAUGUAGGAUUGGUAAACAUCUUUUCCCAAUCUGUUGGUUGCCAUUUUAUCCUAAUGACAGUGUCCUUUGCCUUACAAAAGCUUUGCAGUUUUAUGAGGUUCCAAAUGACAAUUCUUGAUCUUAGAGAAUAAGCCACUGGUGUUAUGUUCAGGAAAAUUUCCCCAGUGCCCAUGUGUUUGAGGCUCUUCCCUAAUUUUUCUUCUAUUAGUUUGUGUAUCUGGUUUUAUGUGGAGGUCCUUGAUCCACUUGGACUUAAGCUUUGCACAGGUCGAUAAAAAUGGAUCAAUUUGCAUUCUUCUACAUACUGAUCUCCAGUUGAACCAGCACCAUUUGUCAAAAAUUCUAUCAUUUUUCCAAUGGAUGGUUUUGACUCUGUAAAAGAUAAAGUGACCACAUGUGUGUGGGUUCAUUUCUGGGUCUUCAGUUCUAUUCCACUGAUUUUUCUGCCUGUCUCUGAAUGAAUACCAUACAGUUUUUAAUCACUAUUGAUCUGUAAUAAUGAUUGAGGUUAGGGAUGGUGAUUCCCGGAGAAGUUCUUGUAUUGUUAAGUAUAGUUUUGCUAUUCUGAGUUUUUUGUUAUUCCAAAUGAAUUUGCAAAUUGCUCUUUCUAUUUCUAUGAAGAAUUGAGUUGGAAUUUUAUGGGGACUGCAUCUGUAGACUGCUUUUGGCAAAAUGGCCACUUUUACUAUAUUAAUCCUGCCAAUCCAUGAGCAUUGGAGGCCUUUCCACCUUCUGAGGUCUUCAAUUUCUUUCUUCAGAGACUUUAAUUUCUUGUCAUACACAUCUUCCACUUGCUUGGUUAAAGUUACACAGAGGUAUUUUACAUUAUUUGGGACUAUAGGGAAUGGUGGCAUUUCCCUAAUUUCUUUCUCAGCCUGUUUAUCCUUUGUGUAAAGGAAGGCUACUGAUUUGUUUGAAUUAAGUUUAUACCCAGACACUUUGCUGAAGUUGUUCAUCGGGUUUAGUAGUUCUCUGGUGGAACUUUUGAGGUCAUUUAAAUAUGCUAUCUUAUCAUUUGCAAAUAGUGAUAUUUUGACUUUUUCUUUUCCAAUUUGUAUCCCUCUGACCUCCCUUCAUUGUCUGGUUGCUCUAGCUAGGAUUUUGAGUACUAUAUUGAAUAAGUAGAGAGAGGUGGCAGCCUUGUCUAGUCCCUGAUUUUAGUGGGUUGCUUCAACUUUCUCUCCAUUAAGUUUGAUGUUAGCUACUAGUUUGCUGUCUAUUGCUAUUACUAUGUUUAGGUAUGGGCCUUGAAUUCCUGAUCUUUCCAGGACUUUUAUCAUGAAGUGUUGUUGAAUUUUGUCAAAUGCUUUCUCAGCAUCUAAUGACAUGAUCAUGUGGUUCUUAUCUUUGAGUUUGCUUAUAUAGUGGAUUAUGUUGAUGGAUUUCUGUCUAUUAAACCAUCCCUGUAUCCCUGAAGCCUACUUAAUCCUGAUGGAUGAUCAUUUUGAUGUGUUCUUGGAUUUGGUUUGGAAGAAUUUUAUUGAGUAUUUUUGUGUCAAUAUUCAUAAGGGAAAUUGGUCUGAGGUUCUCUUUCUUUGUGGGAUCUUUGUGUGGUUUAGGUAUAAGAGUAAUUGUGGCUUCAUAGAAGCAAUUUGGUAGUGCUCUGUCUGUUUCUAUUAUGUGGAAUAGUUUGGACAGUAUUGGUAUGAGAUCUUCUAUGAAAGUCUGAUAGAAUUCUGCACCAAACUCAUCUGGUCCUGGGCUCUUUUUGGUUGGGAGACUUUUAAUAAAUGCUUCUAUUUCUUUAGGAGUUAUGGGAGUGUUUAGAUGGUUUAUCUGUUCCUGAUUUAAGUUUGGUACCUGGUAUCUGUCUAGAAAAUUGUCCAUCUCCUCCAGAUUUUCCAGUUUUGUUGAACAUAGGGUUUUGUAGUAGGAUCUCAUGAUAUUUUUUUUAUAAAUUUCCUCAGAUUCUGUUGUUAUGUCUUCCUUUUCAUUUUUAAUUUUGUUAAUUUGGAUACACUGUGACCUCUGGUUAGUAUGGCUAAGGGUUUAUCUAUCUUGUUGAUUUUCUCAAAGAACCACCUCUUGGUUUUGUUGAUUCUUUCUAUGGUCCUUUUUGUUUCUACUUGGUUGAUUUCAGCCCUGAGUUUGAUUACUUCCUGUCUUCUACUCCUCUUGGGUAUAUUUGCUUCUCUUUGUUCUAGAGCUUUUAAGUGUGCUGUCAAGCUGCUGAUGUAUGCUCUCUCCUGUUUCUUUUUGCAGGCUCUCAGAGCUGUGAGUUUUCCUCAUUGCACUGCUUUCACUGUGUCCCAUAAGUUUGGGUCUAUUUUUAUCUUCAUUUUCAUUAAAUUCUAAGAAGUCUUUAGUUCCUUUCUUUCUCUCUUGACCAAGUUUUCAUUGAAUAAAGCAUUGUUCAACUUCCAUGCAUAUGUGCGGUUUCUGUCAUUAUUGUUGUUAUUGAAGACCAUCUUUUGUCUGUGGUGAUCUGAUAUGAUAUGUGGGAAAAUUUCUAACUUCUUGUAUCUAUUGAGGCCUGUUUUGUGACCAAUUAUAUGCUCAAUUUUGGAGUUGGUACCAUGAGGUGCUGAGAAGAAGGUGUAUCCUAUUAUUUUAGGAUGAAAUGUUCUAUAAAUAUCUGUUAAGUCCAUUUGGUUCAUAACUUCUGUUAGUUUCUCUAUGUCUUUGUUUAAUCUGUUUCUAUGAUCUGUCCGUUGAUGAGAGUGGGGUGCUAAAAUCUCCUAUUAUUAUUGUGUGAGGUGCAAUAUGUGCUUUGAUCUUUAGUAAGGUUUCUUUUAUGAAUGUAGGUGCCCUUGAAUUUGGAGCAUAGAUAUUUAGGAUUGAGAAUUCAUCUUUUCAGGUUUUUCCUUUGAGGAAUAUAAAGUGUCCUUCCUUAUCUUUUUUGAUGACUUUUGGUUGAAAGCUGAUUUUACUCGAAAUUAGAAUAGCUACUCCACCUUUUUUGUGGGGACCAUUUGCUUGGACACUUGUUUUCCAGCCUUUUACUCUGACGUAGUGUCUGACUUUGUCUAUUAUGUGUAUUUUCUGUAUGCAGCAAAUGCUGGGUCCUCUUUACAUAUCCAGUCCGUUAGUCUAUGUCUUUUUAUUGGGAAAUUGAGUCCAUUAAUGUUGAGAGAUAUUAAGGAAUAGUGAUUGUCGCUUCCUGUUGUUUUCAUUGUUAGAGGUAGAAUUAUGUUUGUGUGUCUCUCUUUUGGUUUCAUUGCAAGGAGAUUAUAUUCUGGCUUUCUGUAUAGCAUAGUUUCUCUCCUUGGGUUGGAGUUUUCCAUCUAUUAACCUUU